rnacentral:rRNA from 1 species
UGGGGAAUAUUGGACAAUGGGGGCAACCCUGAUCCAGCGAUGCCGCGUGUGCGAAGAAGGCCUGCGGGUUGUAAAGCACUUUAGUUGGGGAAGAAUGAGCGUAAUUCGAAUAGAGUUGCGCAGUGACGUUACCCAAAGAAUAAGCACCGGCUAACUCUGUGCCAGCAGCCGCGGUAAUACAGAGGGUGCGAGCGUUAAUCGGAAUUACUGGGCGUAAAGGGCGCGUAGGCGGUUAUAUAAGUUAGAUGUGAAAUCCCCGGGCUUAACCUGGGAAUGGCAUUUAAUACUGUAUGACUAGAGUAGAGUAGAGGGAAGUGGAAUUUCCGGUGUAGCGGUGAAAUGCGUAGAUAUCGGAAAGAACACCAGUGGCGAAGGCGGCUUCCUGGACUCAUACUGACGUUGAGGCGCGAAAGCGUGGGUAGCAAACAGG